CUCCUCUCGGGAUCGCACUUGGAGAGUUUCCAUUACUCUACCAGUCUCGGCGAUGGGAGGGAGAGAUAAGCAGAGGCAUACCCGCUCUAUUCCUAGCUUGGGCAGCUGCUAGGGAGUGGAAGCUAGUCUGCUACAAGU